GUCUAUGGCCAUGCCACCUCGAACAAGCCCAAUCCUGUCUUAUCUCGGAAGCUAAGCAGGGUCGUGCCUGGUGGGGAGAGUAUUUGGAUGGGAGACCACCUAGGAAAACCAGGUACUGUAGGCA
rnacentral:rRNA from 1 species